CAGACAUCACUCCUCACAUUUUUCCACUCAUAAAAACUCAUACACAGAUGCAGAUAGCCAUCGAUAUACAGGACACCACAUUCACUCACAAUAGAAUAUACAUACACACUGCAAAUUCACACACUAGACAUAUACACACAACAACACCCAUCUCAAAGCCUCCAUUUUUUCUCACAUACGCACCAUCAGAAAGGAGAGAGGAACCUAUACACAGCAACGCACUCACACACAUAUACAUAUACGAACAUCCACAGCAACACAUAAAAAGGAGGGCUUGAUUUUCUCCAUUGAUCCCUCAUUCACCUUCUACACAUCCUCACUACACAGAAAUAUACACAACGCAGACUGGAGAUGGAGGGAAUCACACAUCAUCACUCUUAGGAACACAAUCACAGACCUCACCUAUUCCAUACACACACAAUCACUAAAAUUAACUCACACACGUACAAACACAGUUGAACAACGGAGAAUCGGUAGCAAAGGAAGAGAAAAUGGCGGAGGGGAGAUAGAGAUCAGAAAUAGAAAAGAUCUCUCUCUCUCGAGAAAGAAAAUAGAGAGAAAACUGGUUUUAGCUUGGUUUUCGGUGAAGCCUCGUCGGAAUACACCGUCCCAUCACUGCCAAACAGCCAAAAACCCAAAACCAGCGAGAACACCCCAAAUAUCUGAUAAGAAAUCGACCAAUCUCACGUUCUUUGCUACUAUUUGGGUCGCUGGAGCUGCAAACAAGAGCCCACUUAGAUUUCAACAAACCCAUUUAAGUUCAAGCCAAAAUCGGCAGUUUAGGCUCGUAUUGUGGUUGUUUUAGGCUGGUCUGUUGGGAUCGAGGUUCGAAUCGAGAGUUUUCAAAUCCGUCUUUGUCUUUCGAUCACAUAAUUUGGCACAAUAAAAGCUUCAAUCGAGGAAAUGCCUCGAGAAAGUUGUACUCAAAGAUGGUUCGUGAUCAAGGCCCGAGGUAUUGGGUAGAGCAUAGGCUAGGAUUAGUUUAGAAUAGGAUUUAUAUUUAAGCAUUUUUCUAUUUUCUAGACUUUAUAAUUCGGUCAUAGACACUAUUUUGGAUUUUUGAUUAUUUGGUUGUUUUGUUUGCUUGUUAUAUGUUUUGUUGGUUUAUACACUUCGUAGCAUUAUACUAGCUGAUAUACUCCAUGAAGAGACCAUGGUCGAACCACGGGAUCGAGGGGUGCAUAACACCUUCCCCUCGAUCAACCAAAAUCCUCAGCUGGAAUCUCUGUUCGCGAAUCAGUAUCUAGAGUCAAAUCAUUUUGAAAAAAGAUUUUUCAAAGAUGACUUGGCACACCAGAUUUAUGUCAAGUGGCGACUCUUAGUUUAAAUAUAAGAAGUCCUUUUCAAAACUAAUUUUCAUUUCUUGUCAUUUAAUAAUAAAAUCCUUUCAAACUUAUAAUCAUUCCUUUUGGUAAAAAGGGGUGUGACAGCUCUGGGCACUAGCUGGGGAGACUUUUUUUGAAUUCAAGCUUAUUUUUGGGGUAAUAUAGUCAUUUGAUGGACUGAUUGUUGCAUCUUUGAGGGUAAUAUAGUCAUUUGAUGGACUGAUUGUUGCAUCAUGCUUCUCUGGCUCCUUAGUAUAAGCCUAAUAUAUUCACAACACCAUAUGUCAUCUCUGAUUUUGCUGCUCAACCCUCUACUGAGGCUUCCAUAUUGUCUAUCCGCCCAGGGGUUGUGGUUUCCCAUGCCGCUAAUGAACCCAUGUUAAAUACUCUUGAUGAUCAUUUCUAUGCUCCUGAGCCUACUUUUAAGUUAACUGGAGCACCAAAAUUUCUUAACAAGAAGCCUAUCGUGCCAGAAGAGCCAGAGAAAACGGUUGGAAAAAGAAAAAGUAUAGAAAAUGCUAUGAAAAGUUCCCUAGGACUAGCGGAUAAAGAAGAUAUUUCAUAUAAAGACUGGGACAUAUUUUCAAGUGUCAACCUUUCUCAAAGCUUUGAGAUAUCGAAAUUUGGGAAACAUGAUGGACAUGAGGAUUUUGUGAAACAUUUGGGACGAUACUGAAGUCAAUUAUAGAAAACUAAAGGGAAGAAGAAGGAAAACAUACCUAUUGUCGGGCCAGUGACAAAGCAUAGCUCGAGAGGUCCAACUUACCAAUACUGUCAGCCUCAAUCCCGAGCUUACAUAUUAGAUCCACAUACUCAUCUAAAUAAGGUUUCUCGUUCCAAAGUCUAAGAUAUUUCAUUCUACUUCCUCAAUAUCCUUUGAACAAUGCACAAUUGUAUACUCGUUCGUCAUCUUAUCCACAAUGGAAAGCAAUGAUCUCUCAACAUUGUCCUUGGCCCCCACAUAUUUACCAAGGUGCCUCUAAAUCCAAGUUUAAACCAAGGCCAGAGUUUGCAAAGAGGAGGAAAGAAAAGGAUAAUUUCACUCCUAUUAGGGAAUCCUAUGCCAGUUUAUUCCAUAGAUUGGUACAAUGGGGCAUGAUCACAUCUCUUCUUGGGUAUACUCCUGACCUGCAUUCAAGAAGUUUUGAUCUUAAUGUACAAUUUUCAUAUCAUUCUGAUGUUCAGGGUCACAGUAUUGAAGAUUAUGGUGCUUUGAAAAGGGAAAUAGAAAAGAUAAUUCAAGAUAAAUCGAUUGGGGUGCAGAACAUUGACAGUGGUGGAAAGGUCUAGUCAUGAUGAUGUGCAACUCAGUGGCUAAGAUGUCAAGCUCAGUAAUUAGAAAGUCACUCCUCUCCUUACCAGGAAGUAUUAUUGGUAGUUUGUUUUGUUUUCCUUUUUGUUUUCUGAAUUAUUUCAGGAUUGUAAUUCGGAACUUAUCUUGUUUUGUUUCUUUGUCGUUUAUGUUUAAACACUUCUAUCUUCCCUUUCAACAAAAUGUAGUGUCCCUUUUUGCU